rnacentral:rRNA from 1 species
UGGGGAAUAUUGCACAAUGGGCGAAAGCCUGAUGCAGCAACGCCGCGUGAGUGAUGAAGGCCUUCGGGUUGUAAAGCUCUGUCUUUUGGGACGAUAAUGACGGUACCAAAGGAGGAAGCCACGGCUAACUACGUGCCAGCAGCCGCGGUAAUACGUAGGUGGCAAGCGUUGUCCGGAUUUACUGGGCGUAAAGGAUGCGUAGGCGGAUUUUUAAGUGAGAUGUGAAAUACCCGGGCUUAACUUGGGUGCUACAUUUCAAACUGGGAAUCUAGAGUGCGGGAGAGGAGAAUGGAAUUCCUAGUGUAGCGGUGAAAUGCGUAGAGAUUAGGAAGAACACCAGUGGCGAAGGCGAUUCUCUGGACCGUAACUGACGCUGAGGCAUGAAAGCGUGGGUAGCAAACAGGAUUAGAUACCCUGGUAGUCCACGCCGUAAACGAUGAGUACUAGGUGUAGGAGGUAUCGACCCCUUCUGUGCCGCAGUUAACACAAUAAGUACUCCGCCUGGGAAGUACGAUCGCAAGAUUAAAACUUAAAUGAAUUGACGGGGUCAUAGCUG